rnacentral:rRNA from 1 species
GACGAACGCUGGCGGCGUGCCUAAUACAUGCAAGUCGAACGCUGAAGGAGGAUCUUGCUUCUCUGGAUGAGUUGCGAACGGGUGAGUAACGCGUAGGUAACCUGCCUGGUAGCGGGGGAUAACUAUUGGAAACGAUAGCUAAUACCGCAUAAGAGUAGAUGUUGCAUGACAUUUGCUUAAAAGGUGCAAUUUCAUCACUACCAGAUGGACCUGCGUUGUAUUAGCUAGUUGGUGGGGUAACGGCUCACCAAGGCGACCAUACAUAGCCGACCUGGGAGGGGGAUAGGCCACACGGGGGCGGGGACACGGCCAAGACUACUACGAGAGGGAGCAGAAGGGAAUCUGAGGCAAUGGACGGAAGUAUGGCCGAACAACGCCGCGUGAGUGAAGAAGGUUUUGGGAUCGGAAAGAUCUGUUGUAAGAGAAGAACGAGUGUGAGAGUGGAAAGUGCACACUGUGACGGUAUCUGAACAGAAAGGGACGGCUAACUACGUG